rnacentral:lncRNA from 7 species
AUUAAUUACCACAGUUUGUAGCUGCGCCAUCUCCUAAACCAACAGAAAUGAUAUCAGUAAAACUAAAUCACUUAUGCACAGAGUUCUGCAGACUAGGAAAAUAAUGAAAAAGAUGCUGAGAAAGCCUCUUUCCAGGCACCUCUGAUUGUUUUCUUUUGGCAAUAAAAGAUUGAACAGGUCAUGGAAAUGAUCACACCAAGAUUGUCAAAUGUCUACUAACUGUAACAAGUGCUCACUAACAAGAGCUUAUAACCUGAAGCACUGACAAAGCUUACUGUAAGAAGCUGAACACUGAGCUCAACUUUGGUUUAGAUAUACCUAUGUAUGUUCAUGGUAUCUCAGCAUGUAAAAUCAGAUGCUUUUGGAAAGUAGGGCUGUUCGCUGUCAGGACAUUGAGAUGUGAAAUUAGGCAGCACAGCUCCCUGGGAAGUGAGCAGUGGUGUGUAGAUGAUACUCCUGGAAGCUCUUCUCCCUCAACACUCCUGACUGAGGCUCUCUUUUACAGUCUUUUUGACAGAUGAAGACAUUUUGGUUAUCCUCACUUUAUAGAGGAGCACUUUAAAGAAGAGAUAUGGCUUUCUCUAAGUCCCGUGCCAGCCCCUACCUGCGAAGAGCAAAACGUUGCAGACUGUCUUUCAUGGAUACCAGAAGAAGCUCCUGCUUUCCUGUGGUUUUUGUGACAAGAGAGCUCCUCUAAGAAAAGAAAAGCUGCUUGCUUCAGCUCAGAAAGGGAGCAAAGAGCGGCCUUGGGAAGACGACAAGUGGAGAAAGGGAAGUCUCUGAACUACAUCAAAGUAGAAAAAUUUGGUUAUACAAACUAAAAUGAAUUGGGAAAUCCAUAUAUACAUGGGACAGAUCAUGGACACUCAACCACAUAUACUAAAGAUGAAUAUAUCCUGCUGCUAGAAUUUCCCCCAGUCUAUAAGAGCUGGAAGCUGUAUAAGGACUCUUAAGUCUCUGUGUAAAUAUUGACUUAGAAAAAUGAGAUAUUAUGAUUUGAAAUGACCUAAAUAAUUGCAUCAGAAGAUUCCCAUGCAAUUCACUGAAUGUACCACUGGAACUCAAUAAAUAAACAACCAGGUGCAGCAGUAUUUAGUGUAAUUUAUAGGAUAUCUUUCUCUUCCUGUGUGCUUAAAUAUGGGAUUAGCUGAACCAUUUUUUGAACCAUUCUUCCUUUUGAUCCACACGUGAAUUCAUUGCUAUUGAGGAUAGUCACAUCUCUAAACACAGAACACCAGCGUGUUCUGUCACAGGUAGGCUGUCAUUAGUGCAGAUUUGUACCAGAAAUUGUAAAGUAAUAUAGUAUCGGAAAAGGGUGCAAAUGACUGGUGGUCAGAGGAGUGCAUGAGUGUGACUGUAAGUGCUCCUACUAGCUUCUUUAUGUUUGGUAACCCCACAUUCCAUCAUCUAGGGCAAUGACAUUGUACAUAUUCUUCCCAGACAUCCUUUCUCAGAAAGGAGGCCUGGAAAGAGAUAAUAUUGUUUUGUUUGUGGACUGCCCAUAUUUUUUUAUAUUUCAUUUUAUUUGGCACUAAAGUGUUUAUAUGCCCACUGUGAUGCCUGCAAAGAAACCCAUUUGUGAGGUUUUCUCCCAAGAGGAGUCAGAUCUGCUCUGCAGCACAAAUGUUAUGCAGAGCAUAAAUAUUUCUCCACUUUAGCAGCUCUUUCACAGUGAUAUUUGUGACUUUGAUUCUCACCUGCCCAUAUUUGAGUAAUUUCUCUUUACAGUCUGUGUAUUCAUUUUGGCAGCCUAAGUCAUUUGUUCUUUUUUUCCCUCAAAACACUGAAGUUAAUUCAUCAGCAAAACUUACGCCUCCCUGCCUCAUUUAAACUCACAGCAGAGUGAUAUUGAUUUCAUAGCAAACAGGAAAAGAAUCUUCAAAGCAGCAAAAUCAAAGUGGAACUCACUGACUAUGACUCAACAGAACAAAAUUUUGGUGCAGAAGUAAAUCCCACCUUUUUGGUUGCAGCAUAGAUGAUUGAAGUGAAUUAAUUAGUGCCAACUUGAGACUUACAAGUUAAUAAAAUAAAGACAGAAUGACUAGAAAACUUUGAUGGCAUAACUGGCAAUUUUUCCAUUGCCUUAGAGGAGAACUUGCCCUGGGUUUCUAGUUGGAUUUGUUAAGAAUAUGACAGCUAAAGAGUACACCCUGACUGACACACUGCUGCCCCAAUGAUGGAGACUUUCAGGGAUGCCUCCAGCAGCUGCAUGACUUUAACAGCACUAUUCUCAUCAGCACCUAAAAUAGUGGAAUUUUUAGGGGGUGCAGUGCAAGGCUGAGUUCAGUAUCCAGCCAUAUCCUCAAAUCAAAGGAUUUGGCUACGUGGACUUUUCUGAAAACAAGGAGAAAAGACCACAUUGCUUCAGCCUGCUGCUCACUGAAUGUGGAAAGAUGAGUUUCACAGUUGAUGUUUCUCUGUUUAGAGACAGUAGUUUCGUGUGGACUUUUUCCAGAAAUAAGGAUAUAGAUUACUAGCUUUUUCUUCGUAUGUUCUCUUUGUAGUCCAUUUAACCUGUGGAUUUGUGGUGGUCACAGGCUGGAAACUACUGUUCUGGAAGAUGUUAGUUGAUUUCUUCUCCAGUCUGUUUACUAUCUCAAGAGUCUGAAAGACAUGAAGUACUGUAUAAGAACAUUCAAAGAUGCUGAGAAGACCUGUGUUGUGAAAGCUGUUAUUAUUGUUCACAGUUUGUGGUAUUUUUUCUUUUUAUUAGUAGAAAUUCUGUGCAUUUAAAAACUGAUUUAGAAUAGUCAGAAAACCAGAUUAGCAGAGGUCUCUUUCUGGUAUUGAAUUACUCUCAGAAGGUCAUUCCAGAGCAUAUUCAUUACAGAUACAAUCCACAAAUUCAUAAAAACAUGUCAAUCACUGAACUGUUUAUAUUGAGAGAUACAACUGAAACUGUACAAUAUUAUUCAAUAAAAUUACUAAAUU